CAGGGAGACAACAAAAUGUUUAAUAUUAUUAUUUUGUCACCUUAGGUCGAUCGGUAUCUCACGUUCUUAAUUUAUUAAGAAUUUCAUUUCCUAAGUUUUUCUAGGUCACACCCAUUAUUUUUCCUGGGCCAUUAGCUCAGGUGGUUAGAGCGCACCCCUGAUAAGGGUGAGGUCCCUGGUUCAAGUCCAGGAUGGCCCAUUCGGUGUUGGGGGUUUAGCUCAGUUGGUAGAGCGCCUGCUUUGCAAGCAGGAUGUCAGGAGUUCGAGUCUCCUAACCUCCACUGACCGAACUUGAUUCCCAUCUCCAAUUCUUUUGGAGUUGAGCUCGAUUGGAGUGUGAUUUAGAUGUGUCCGCUGGAUGACCCCAGCUUCCUGUCAUUCCAAGUUUUAGGUUGAUGCCUUGAAUUUGGUUGAUAAGAUGCUGGGCUCAGAUCAAAUAAUCAAUCAAUUGAUGAUUUGAUUUGAAGUUCUAGCAGAACCUUGACAACUGCAUAGGUGAGUCUGGAAAAAACAAAGCAUCUUACAGAUGCAUUGUUUUGAAUCUGAUCUUCUGAGAGGGAGAUU
rnacentral:tRNA from 1 species